GACGCAGAAUCCCGCCCGCGCCCGCGCGCCUCGGGGGCGGCGGGGGUGGCGGCGGCCCGUCCCUUCUGCAGCCCUGCGCGAGGCCUCGGCGCUCCCCUCCUGCCCCGGAGUCCCGUGAUCCUGGAAGUCCUGCGGGGCCAUCCUGUGCUUGAAGAUAAACACAGCCCCCCACCCUCGGGUGUCAGAUUCUUUCAGGACGUUUAUUUCCCUUGGUGUCCCCGUUCCGGACGUGGCUGAGCUCACCGCGGGCCCUACUCACCUGCUCUGUUCUAAGAGCUUCGUCUGCCAUUUGGCGCUGGCCCCAUCCUGGCUCUCAGCAAAGAGCUUCCAGGGUUUAAAAUGAAGGCAUUUCCUCACCUGUAAAGUGACUAGAAGAUUGCCCAGGUCCCUUCCAACAACUGCAGACUGUGUCAUCGGCUGGAUUUGGGCCCGAGCUGGACUGUGUGCAGCCCUCUCUCAGGAACACCUCUGUCUUUCCUGCCUUGAGCUUAGUUUCUGUCUAGAAAGUUGUAAGAGUUGAGACAAUGAGAGGAGGCUGAGGAGCUGUUUGCUCCCCUGAAUCAGGGGUUCGGAUCCAGUUGAGGGAUGCGGGGGUGGGGAGGAGAAGGUUCAGUCGAUGCCUAGACCUGACACAUUAACCCCUGGAUGAAUUAUUUUCACUUCUGUGAAAAAGGCUUUGGCUAUGGCUUCACGGAGAAGCCCGCCGCAUCGUAAAACCACCGGUGUCACGAGCUGUCUUCUGGAGAGUGGAAACGGGC
ensembl:lncRNA